CACAAGGAAGCCAAAGACAUGAUACAUCAUGGCAAUAUAUAGUGUUUGACAAACAAGCAGUAACAGUUCACAAGUAUGUGAGACUCCUACAAGCCUUCUCACACACACACAUUCAAGGUGCUUCCCAUCACUUAAGCUGCUGUUUCCUGAUAUCUAGAUAACCAGUUCUGGGAACAUUUGCUUCUUCUCACGUACCCAAAUUUGGUCAGAGUCAUGUUAGAUCAUCUGCACUACUUGAACUAUUAAAUAUUUACAGAAGCUUAUAUAAAUUUUUAUUGAUUUCACAUCACAGUCAUAUGACAUUUGAUUUAGGCUCUCAACUCCAGAUGUGACACUUGUAUAAUGCCUUGUUCAGAGACUGUCUGUAAAGAUACAUAUACAGUGAUACAGUUUGAUUUUCAGAUAGAUUUGAAUUGAAUAUAGCUUUAACUGGAACCAUAUAACAUCAAACAUUUGAUCAGGGACCCACUGAAUUUCCCUCAAACGACCAGCUGUGGGUCGCAGGGACUCACAACACUGAAACCCCAUCAACAUCACUGAACCAGCGUUGACUGUUGGUUGGAAACAGGAAACAAAAGCGUUCUCCAGUGUGAAAGUCUGAAGUUUUGUUAACCCAUCCAUCCACCUGUGGACUGACUUCACUCCUGUCAUAACCACGACUGCAGGCUUUGUCCCUGUGGGCGGAGAUGACUCAUCACUAAUUGGCUUUUUACCAUCAUGAGCAAAUGUGAUCUCAUCCCGUACACGCGCUGCAAGUAGCUUUCCACACAACAAAAUGACACAGUCAGGUUGUCCACAUUGAUGAUGAGGCAGAGGUGUGCUGGUUCUCACCACAGUCAGAUCCUGUCCCCUCACUAUGACUGCUCUUGUCUUGUUCCAUUCCUCCCUUUCAAAAAGUUUCAUCAGCUGAUGAAAAAGCGCAGAAAACAACUGAUUUAUAGAUCAGAAGUGACCAAAUUGUGGUGAAGCACACAUUGACCCUCAUUUACAAACCCAAUGCAUGACAGAAAACUGGGUGUGUGGUUAUUCAACGCAAAGCUCAGUAUUUUUUAAUGUGGACGUGAGAAGCAACUUGUGAAGCAACAGCUGGCUGAGUUGGAGAAUUAUUAUCAGACCAUAUUCUGACUGGCAUCUAAGGACCUGCAGCCACAUACAGAAUUAAUUAAAAAUGUAUAGCCUUUGAGAAAAUAUUUUAUAAAGGCCUACAUUAUGCGCUCACAGUAUCUUCACUCUGUGGGACUGGCUCCAGGCUGACCUCAGGCUGAACACCACAGGUGCCCGGCUCUGAUUCAUCUGAAACACAACACUAAGAAACCUAAGCAUGUUUAUAUAAUGUAUCAUGAAAACAUUAUAAAAAAUGAAAUUAAUUAACCCUGCAACAGUAUAAUCAUUUAAAUACUAGUAGCCCAGGAGGUGCCGGAUCGGCACUGGCUUGUACGUUAGAUUGAUAAAAGAAGGUCAGUGUGGGUUUCCUCCAGGUGCUCCCACAUGUUCUCCCCGUGUCAGCGUGGGUUUCCUCCAGGUGCUCCGACAUGUUCUCCCUGUGUCAGUGUGGGUUUCCUCCAGGUGCUCCCACAUGUUCUCCCUGUGUCAGCGUGGGUUUCCUCCAGGUGCUCCCACAUGUUCUUCCCGUGUCAGUGUGGGUUUCCUCCAGGUGCUCUGACAUGUUCUCCCUGUGUCAGCGUGGGUUUCCUCCAGGUGCUCCCACAUGUUCUUCCCGUGUCAGCGUGGGUUUCCUCCAGGUGCUCCCACAUGUUCUCCCUGUGUCAGCGUGGGUUUCCUCCAGGUGCUCUGACAUGUUCUCCCUGUGUCAGCGUGGGUUUCCUCCAGGUGCUCUGACAUGUUCUCCCUGUGUCAGCGUGGGUUUCCUCCAGGUGCUCCAGCUUCCUCCCACAGUCCAAAGACAUGCAGGUUAACUGGUGACUCUAAAUUGUCCGUAGGUGUGAAUGUGAGUGUGAAUGGUUGUCUGUCUCUAUGUGUCAGCCCUGUGAUAGUCUGGUGACCUGUCCAGGGUGAACCCUGCCUCUCACCCAGUGUCAGCUGGGAUA